CUUUGAUUAUGAAAGUAGACAACACAUCAUUCUGAAAAGACAUUCUUUGGCUUCACCAGACUGCUAAAGG
rnacentral:snoRNA from 1 species